ensembl:lincRNA
AACAAGUAGAGGAUAGCGUCAAUAAUGCACUGAAUACUCUUCUGAAUGAACCUACUAGUGCACCUUUACAACCCAAAUCAGCAAACUUCACGAGCACAUCUAACCAGAUUGUGGGCAUUAUGGGAUACACCUUCCAGGAGGAAGAUGUCAUCCAGCCAGUCAGUUUCCUAAAUGAACUUCGAUCACAGACAGGUUUGUCAAAAUGUAUGACUCUUGGUUAUUAAAAUAAAAAAUAAUAAUUUAAAGUCACAAGUGCUUCACAUCUCUCUUUCUGUUUUUAUUUUUAGCACCGACGACUACAAUGGCCACUUCCACUGCCAGUUCCACCCCUGCAGUUCCAAUAUCUGGAUUAGCGGUGGUCACAAGCAGGCUGUUGUUCAACUCCUCAUCUCCAGUCCCCAGGGAAGCUCUGGUCCUCACUGCUGUCGACACUCUUCUCAAAUCCCGAGAGUUACGGCUCAAUGAAUCAGUAAAAAUUGUUAAUGCUACCUAUAAGAAACUCUCAGACACCUCAUAUGCCAUCAUCUUUACAAUUAAUCUGACUAAAAUCAGCAUGCCUGAAGACCCUGUACUGAAAAACAAGAGCUACAAACAAGCCGAGGAUACCAUCAAUAUUGCACUGAAUACUCUUCUGAAUGAACCUACCAGUGCACCUUUACAACCCAAAUCAGCAAACUUCACGAGUACAUCUAACCAGAUUGAGGGUGUUAUGGGAUACGCAUUCCAGGAUGAAGAUGUCAUCCAACCAGUCAGCUUCCUAAAUGAGCUACGAUCACAGACAGUACCAACAACUACAAUGGCCAGUUCCACUGUGACUCCUGCUAUCCCAAUAUCUGGUUCAGCGGUGGUCACAAGCAGGCUGUUGUUCGACUCCUCAUCUCCAGUCCCCAGUAAAGCUCUGGUCCUCACUGCUGUCGACACUCUUCUCACAUCCAGACAGUCACAGCUCAAUGAAUCAGUGAAGGUGGUGAAUUUCACAUAUGAGCAAAUUUCAGAAAGCUCAUAUGCCGUCACCUUUAAAUUUAAUAUAACUCAACUCAGCAUGCCAAGUGACUCUGGGCUUAGAAACAACACAUACCUGCAAGUAGAGGAUACUAUAAGCAAAGCACUGAACACUCUUGUGAACGAACCUAAGAAUCCAACUUUAAAGCCCAAGUCAUCUAACUUCAAGAGUGCAUUAAAUCGUAUUGAGGGAAAUAUGGAGUAUGCAUUCCAAAAAGAUGACGUCCUACAACCAAUCAGCUUCCUACAUCAGCUUAGUUUAUUGACAGUCACAACAACAACCAGCAGUCUGACAACAACAACAACAACUACAACAACAACAACAACGUCUCCACCAACUUUGAUGGGAGUGGUUACUAUAUUUAUUAAGCUUCAGUUCAUCACUCUGGGCCCAAUACCGAGUGAAAACAGCAUCAUACCACUGGUCAAUUCUUUGGUCACUUCUCGUUUGCAAACUAAGGAUGUCACCACACAAAACAUGCAAGCGAGCUAUGUGAAUGUCACCUAUAACAGGAUUAGUGAUUUCUCCUAUGUACUCAUAUUUGAAUUCAAAAUCAGCAAUGUGCCCAUGCGUGAGACAUUUGAACUGAGGAAUGAAACCUACGUUCAAAUCCAAACCUCUAUAAACAAUUUGCUGCCCAAAGUCCUGAAUGACCCCACACCUCCUCAAAUUGAAUUAAAUCAAGUGGUGUUCAACAAUACUAAUAAUGAGAUUCAGGCCAAUGUUCAGUUUGUUUUCUCACAAAGUAAUGUAAACACAACCAGUACCUUGGUCCAAGAAAUUCUGAAAGUUAAUGGAGUUAUUACCACAUCUGCACCUGCUUUAACGACAGCCAGCACAUUGUUGAUAACCUCUCCUCCAACCUUGCUUGGGAAGGUGGUUAUCUACAUCAGCCUUAUAUUUAAAACAAAAGGCCCUCUGCCAAGUCAGAGCAACGUCCUUCAGAUGGCAAAUUCCCUGUUGUUGAGAUUUAAAAUGAAAUCUAAAAGAUCCAUCACAGAAAAAGAGCUGCAAGACCUUGUGAAUGGUGUCAAUGUCACUUAUACAAAACUUGAUGAUACCUCAUUCUCUCUGAACUUUGGAUUUGAAAUCAGCAACGUAACCAUGUCUGAGAAAGUUGAACUCAGGAAUGACACCUAUGUCGUGAUCCAGACCUACAUAAACAGCUUUGUGAGUUGUGAGAGAAAUUGCGUUAUUUCAUGCCCAUCAAUCACAACAUUUUACUCAUCUUUUUUUUUUCUUCCAUAGGUGUCCAAGAUCCUCAAUAAAACAACAACUGUUGACUUUAACUUCAACCAAAUUGCUUUCUUGUAAGUUCACUUUAAGAAGAAAUAUUUUAAUGAUUUAAAACAGUGUUGCCAGACGGAUAAUAAUUAGUGUUUUGUACGAUAAUUUUGACCUCUGUACGAUGUAUGAUCAAUAAUGAAAAAAAUCCUAUAAAAUACGAUAAUUUCAGAAUUUUAUGGCAUUUAAAACACAUUUCAUUGUAAUCUUAGGGCUUCUAUAUAUUGAUCUAGCUGCAUCUUUUGUCUACUGUCUGUGAAGAGAACGUGGAGUUAGACACAUUUUCUAUCUCAUCUCACGUUACACUUUCUCAGCCAAUCAACGUGGAAAAUGACUUUUUCUUGUGAAUUAACAUUCCUGCUGCGCAUGGCAGUGCUUAAGUCAGUCAGUUUCAGGUACAGGUUGAUUGAGGUUGAACUUUAUUGCUUUAUUGCAAUAAAGUUUUGUAAAAGUAGUGCUGGAAAGGAAAGUGAGAAGGACAGGGGAGUUUGCCCAUUCAAAUGCGUCAUGUCAACGUGUUUUUCCAAAGUUAUACUUUAAAUAGGCUCAUGCACACCUCAGAGUUUGUAAAAAUUUGGGAAAGUGCACUGCUUUCAAGCCAUUUAGCACUAUGUUGCCCGUGCAUGACGGCAUCCGAUUUGUACCCCAAAAUGAAUCCCUUAACAUCUGGCAACACAAGCAGGACAGUGACUCGGAGGUGGAGUUUAGAUCUUUCCCCUCAGGUAUGCCUAGUGUUUUUUUUUUUUUUUUUUACGUAAUUCGGUAAUUUGCACCAGGUGUCAAAACGCUAUCUGACUAGAUAAUGCCUGUAUACUCUCCGUUUGACUUGUGUAUGAUAAUUUUCCUCCAAUAAGAUAAUUUUGAGGUUCUGGUACGAUACUUUGACAUUUCCAAUCUGGCAACACUGAUUUAAAAACAGCUUUCAUUAGUAGUUUUAUGAAUGAUGGUAGGAGCAUGACAUGCUCAGUUUAUUUAUUUAUUCAUUUCUCAUUGUGCGUUUUAAUCUCUCUACAGGAGCAAUUCCUCCAUCAUUGAAGCCAAUGUCACGUACGUGUUCUCAGACAGUGAUGUUGGUGCUUUUGGCUUGGUCGCCUCUAUACUCGGAGCUUCCACCACACCUGCUCCAGCCACCACUUACCCUACAGUUCUGAACACUACGAUUUCAGGCAACAGCACAAAUGCAGCAUGGGUUGUGGCUAUCAUUGUACCCUGCGCGAUUGUCAUCAUGCUUGUACCUUGCUGGAUUCUCCUUUGUGUACGUAUUAUGAUGACAGGAUGUCAAAUAUUUGCAAUGCAUGCUUUGUUUUCAUGGUAAAUGAUAUGCUAAAAUGUGAUUUCCAGGAUAUUGACGCUUAUUUUAUCUGUCCUCAGUGUUUGCUGUGUGGUUGCUGUGCAGCAAUCAGAAGACGUUGGCACAGGAGACAGUCUUACAAUGUACAGUACUCCACUCGAAACAGCCUCUUCUAGAGAAAUUCAAGAGCAAAGCCUGGAUGUCUAUAAUAUGUAAACUAUUAUUUAAGGAAAUAUUUAUUUAUUUGAAAAUGAUGCUAAUGUAAUGAUGAACUUGAAUUUACGUAAUGUUUGGGACAAAUGUAGAAUGUGUUGAUCACUUCUUUCUUCACACUUCAUGUAUUUUAUCCUCAUAAUAUAUUUAAUUGCCCCCUUUUUCCACAAAUCCACAUGAAUGUGAAUGUAUUGUCUGUAUUGUUGAAAUGGUAUUUUAUUAAAAGCAGUUUAUACAAAUAUGAUUUUGUAUUGAAAGUUGUUGACACAUACAGACACACAUUUAGACUCUGCAAAAGACAAAAAGAAAACAAUUUAUGAAGUAUUUUCAACAUUGUACUUAUCUCCCUUUAUUAGGCCCAUGGUGUCAGACAUUUUGUAAUGAUGUUUGUGAGCAGUUAAAUAAAGAUAUAAAGCUAGAAUCUUCCAUUUCAAUCUAUUGUCAUAAAAAGCUUUGUUUUUUUUUAAUAAGUAUUAAAAAUUAAAAUCCUGUGGCAAUGACAUUUAUACAUUUAGCUAGGUUUAUUUAUCCAUUCAUCCAUGCAUCCUUGCAUUUAUUCACUCAUUCAUUUAUUUUGGCUUAGUCCCUUAUUUAUCACAGCGGAACAAACCACCAUCUUUUCAGGCAUAUGUUUUAUGCAGCUGAUCCUCGUCCUGAUGCAACCCAGUACUGGGAAACACCCACACACUCUCACAUUCACACACACACUCAUACACUACGACCAAUUUAGUUCAUCCAAUUUACUUACAGUGCAUGUCUGUGGACUGUGGGGGAAACCAGAGCACCUGGAGGAAGCCCACACAUGGGGAAAACAUGCAAACUUAACAUAAAAAAUUCCAAUUAGGACUCAAACCAGUGACCU